rnacentral:rRNA from 1 species
GAGCGGUAGAGAGAAGCUUGCUUCUCUUGAGAGCGGCGGACGGGUGAGUAAUGCCUAGGAAUCUGCCUGGUAGUGGGGGAUAACGUUCGGAAACGAACGCUAAUACCGCAUACGUCCUACGGGAGAAAGCAGGGGACCUUCGGGCCUUGCGCUAUCAGAUGAGCCUAGGUCGGAUUAGCUAUUUGGUGAGGUAAUGGCUCACCAAGGCGACGAUCCGUAACUGGUCUGAGAGGAUGAUCAGUCACACUGGAACUGAGACACGGUCCAGACUCCUACGGGAGGCAGCAGUGGGGAAUAUUGGACAAUGGGCGAAAGCCUGAUCCAGCCAUGCCGCGUGUGUGAAGAAGGUCUUCGGAUUGUAAAGCACUUUAAGUUGGGAGGAAGGGCAGUUACCUAAUACGUGAUUGUUUUGACGUUACCGACAGAAUAAGCACCGGCUAACUCUGUG